rnacentral:rRNA from 1 species
AACGAACGCUGGCGGCAGGCUUAACACAUGCAAGUCGAGCGCCCCGCAAGGGGAGCGGCAGACGGGUGAGUAACACGUGGGAAUCUACCCAUCUCUACGGAAUAACGCAUGGAAACGUGUGCUAAUACCGUAUACGUCCUUCGGGAGAAAGAUUUAUCGGAGAUGGAUGAGCCCGCGUUGGAUUAGCUAGUUGGUGGGGUAAAGGCCUACCAAGGCGACGAUCCAUAGCUGGUCUGAGAGGAUGAUCAGCCACACUGGGACUGAGACACGGCCCAGACUCCUACGGGAGGCAGCAGUGGGGAAUAUUGGACAAUGGGCGCAAGCCUGAUCCAGCCAUGCCGCGUGAGUGAUGAAGGCCCUAGGGUUGUAAAGCUCUUUCACCGGUGAAGAUAAUGACGGUAACCGGAGAAGAAGCCCCGACUAACUUCGUGCCAGCCGCCGCCGUAAAAC